UUACUUGCUGUGCUUCUCUGAGUGCCUCGUGGCCUCUUUAUCACCACCUGUUGAAGGAAAUGUUAGAUCCAGAUAUGGAUGGAAGGUUCUAGGGGCUAAGUGCAUGUUUGAGUGAAAGCUGUAAGAGAGCUAAUGAGCACAGAAUCUAGAAAAAAAAAUAGGCAUCCAGGUAUACACACAGCUGCAUCGUGUCACUGCAAGCGGCUCCCAGAGUUGUUCCUGUUCAUCCAGGAAGAAAGAAAAUCCCGCCAAAGAUUGAGAGAGAUCAAUAAAUGUAUUUCCAAAGAACCUGAAAGAAGAUGUUUCCAUUUGGCUGUCUUACCCUCUAUCCAAGCUCAGAGGGAAAUGCAUUCAAGAACGUUAACGGCCAGCACAAAUUCCAUUCCAAGCCAUGGAGCGGGAAGGGCACAUGAUACCAAGUGUCCCACCAGACGGCCAUCUUGCUAACUAAUACACCUCGGGAUUACAUUUGCAUUUACACAAAAUGUGAGCUUUGGGAGCCAGACGUAUUAUUUUGGUUAAUAGUUUGGCACGUUCUCAGCUUGGAAGCCUGAGCAUAUGUGAUGGGUCAGUAACACAAUAAAAGUAACGGGGAAGCAUUUCUUUCCCCAGUGGUGAAUUUCUACCCUAUUCAGGAAACAGACUUCCCAACUCAGCCAUUACAGCUGUCUGGAUCGUUCAUACCAUUUGCUGUUAAAUAUACCCAAGUAGGAAAAA
rnacentral:lncRNA from 1 species